AAUGUUCAUGGUUUAAAAGCAUCAAAAAUGGAUUUGGACGUCACCUUUCGAUACAUAAUUCGCAAUACAAACACACAAAACUAACUUUCCAAAAUCAGGACACAUUUUAAUGAAUGACCUUCACCGCACUUUUGUUUGAAACUAUAAUGUAGAUCUCUGAUAUGUUCAAUUAAUUUUUACCACUCCGUAUCAAUAAUUUACCUGUUUCUGGGGCUAAUAUUAAAGACUUCUCAGUUUGGCAGCUAUUACAGGCCCUAUUUUUCAAGAUGUCGAGCCCCGGCAGAUCUUAUCUCCACGAAUAGAAACAGCCAGAUCAUCUCUCAUGGUUAUUUCUGUUCUCUUCAAUUUAGCACCAGGGUUUUUAGUGGAAUGUAUGACUGAUUUCAAACUUUUGAAAUCACUCAUUUUGGGUACUGCCUGAAAAACUCACAGAUGAGUUUCCAAUUAGUCGUUCUCGUUUCAUUGUUACGCUUCAUUUAUGAUCUGCUUUGAAGAUUUGCACUCGUGCCUGCAGCAGAGUGAAAUAAGAGUGUGACCUGUCUGUCUGAGGCGAGGUGUCUGUGGCUUCCAUGGAGCCGUCCUGAUCAGUAUUUACAUGUUUAACAUCCCCAUUUGCUUCACUUUACGUUAAGCUGUUUAUUUAAACUUUGCAAUCCUGAGGAAAGCUGCGAAUUAAAAAAAAAAAAAUCCUGUUUUUCUGUCUGUAUGACUCCUUAUUGCAGGAAUACAAGAGUCCACAGCAGGAAUGGUUGAUCAAAAAGUUGAUGUCUGUUGAGGUAGAAAUGUGUUUCCUUUCUGCAUUCAUUUUUGAUAAUGACUGUGUGAUCAAAAUACUCUCUUUUCUAGAGCAGAGUUUUAUCAUAAUACCUUACUGAGGCUGGUACAAAGCUCAUAUUGUGGUUUUUAUUCAGUUAUGAUUCAGCUAUUGUCUCUGAAUCACCUCUUUAUGUACGAGAAGGGCUUUGUCGUUUGGGCAGGUGUUCCAAGACAAAAAAAAUGAAGUGCAUGGACCAUCCCUCACCUGGAAAUGGUUCGAAGUGGAUCCAAGGGAAAAAUGUCAACGCCCAAGGCUCCUGCUAGGAUUACUCCAUCCCAGAUAAUGAAUUUUAUCCUAAUCUUCUUAUCUCAGCUGAGUCUAUUUAAGCUUGUGGAAGACAUGUUUUAUUUCCUUGAUGCACCAGAGUCAGUUUACAGAGUAAACAACUGGAUGCUUUAAGUUUGAAAUUAAAACGUGAGCCAGCGCUACAAAAAUCCUCUUCCAUGAGGUCAUCAGAGGCUGUUUCUUCUCAGAGUUCCUGAACUUCUUUUGAUUAGCUGAAGAAAUUGAUAUUGAAAAUAAAUUAUGAGCUGUCACAACAGACAGAACAAACCCUCGUCUUUGAGAGUUAAACAUCAGGAUUUUUGGCACAGACCUCACAACAUUAACAGACAAAAAGCUGGAGAGGUCAUCAAACACAUUUAGUCCUUUUAUCAACCAGAGAUGUGAACUGCCUUCUUGGUUUGGAGUUUCUGCACUUCAAAACAGUUCCCCGGAAUCUAGUAAACUCCCAAAGCCUUAAUCCUAACUGUCCUUCUGGUGGAUACGGGCUGUCUGCAGGCAGAAAAUUGGUAAACCUGUACAGAACACGCAAGAGGUCUACACAAAUGAAGCUACGGUCACAUAUACCAAAAUACCACAGCGCAGUGGCCUACAUGCAGUUUUUCAGAAAACUGUAAUCGGGAGGCAGAAGCCAAGGUUCUAGAAAAAAAAUUAAGCGUAGAUCUGAUAUUUGCUACAUGGGAAUAUUUGGACGUCCGCCAGCGGGUGGGUGGCAAGCUCUCAUAGUACACUGAGGACUAGUGUUGCAUGAACUCUAUAACACAAACUGCAGGAUACAAAAAUGAAAAACAAUCUGAAACUUCCCACGUUCCCAUUAAUACAGACAAACACAAGCACUCUGGGAAGCAAAAUAAAAAAAA